UAUGUUUGGAAAUAGGAGAGAGAAGAAAAAGAACUUACAAGCACCUCAUGGAUGCCUUGGGACAAAAAAGAAAUGAAGGACGUUUAUCGCGACGAGACGUCACGGGGAGAAGCGAAAAAAUCUGAGAUCCGUGAAUUUCCGACGGGGAAACCUGUUCCAAUAGGGAACGCUCUUAAGGGAGUAAAAACCUUGUGAAUUGAAACAUCUUAGUAGCAAGAGGAAAGGAAAUCAACCGAGACUCCGUUAGUAGUGGCGAGCGAACGCGGAUUAGGCUAAAAAACAAAUGAAAAACUCUUCAAAAAAUUGGAAACUUUUGCCAAAGAAGGUGAUAGCCCUGUCGAGAGAAAGACAUUUGAAAGAAUGAGUAAAACGAGACACGUGAAAUCUUGUUUGAAGAAAGGAGGACCACCUUCUAAGCCUAAGUAUUUUUUGUCACCGAUAGUGAACAAGUACCGUGAGGGAAAGGUGAAAAGAACCCAGAGAUGGGAGUGAAAAGAACCUGAAAUGGGGUGCUUACAAGCAGACAGAGCUUUGAAAAAAGUGAUGUCGUACCUUUUGUAUAAUGGGUCAGUGACUUGAUUUCAGAAGCAAGCUUAAUUCGUGAGAAGUAGGCGUAGCGAAAGCGAGUCUUAAUAGGGCAUCAGUUUCUGGAAUCAGACCCGAAACCAAGUGAUCUAACCAUGAGCAGGUUGAAGAUCUGGUAACACAGAUUGGAGGACCGAACCCACGUCUGUUGAAAAAGACGGGGAUGACUUGUGGUUAGGGGUGAAAGGCUAAUCAAACUUGGAGAUAGCUGGUUUUCCGCGAAAUCUAUUUAGGUAGAGCAUUGUCUUAUUUUCUCUCAGGGGUAGAGCACUCAAUGAGCUAGGGGGGCCAAAAGCCUUACCAAACUCAAGGAAACUCCGAAUACUGAGUAGAUAGAGACAGUAGACAGACUGUGGGUGAUAAGGUCCAUGGUCGAGAGGGAAACAGCCCAGACCGCCAAUUAAGGUCCCAAAAUAAUCGCUCAGUGUGAAAGGAAGUAAGACGGCCAUAACAACCAGGAGGUGGGCUUGGAAGCAGCCAUCCUUUAAAGAAAGCGUAACAGCUCACUGGUCUAAUCAAGCCGUUUUGCGCCGAAAAUGUACGGGGCUUAAGCGAUUUACCGAAAUUGCGGAUUCCUUUUCAAAGGAAUGGUAGCGGAACGUUCUGUAUGUCUGUGAAGAUCGAUUGUCAAUUCGGUUGGAGAUAUCAGAAGUGAGAAUGCUGACAUGAGUAACGAGAAACAAUGUGAAAAACAUUGUCGCCGAAAGUCCAAGGGUUUCUAGCGCAAGGCUAAUCCGCGCAGAGUGAGCCGGUCCCUAAGGAGUAUGCGAAAGCAAAAUCUAAUGGGAAUUUGACGAACACUUCAAAGCCUGCAGAAAGUGACGAAGAAUCAACAAUCCCUUUUGUUACGGGAUUCAAAAGGAAAUUGUUCUUCUUCCAAGAAAGAACUUCUGCAUAUAGACCGUACCCUAAACCGACACAGGUGGACUAGUAGAAGAUACUAAGGCGCUUGAGAGAACGAUGUUGAAGGAACUCGGCAAAUUAACCCUGUAACUUCGGGAGAAAGGGAGCCUAUGUUUCAUAGGCGGCACAGAAUUGGGGGUAGCGACUGUUUAGUAAAAACACAAGACUCUGCUAAAUCGUAAGAUGAUGUAUAGGGUCUGACACCUGCCAGGUGCUGGAAGGUUAAGAGGAGGGGUGCAAGCUCUGAAUUCAAGCCCCAGUAAACGGCGGCCGUAACCAUAACGGUCCUAAGGUAGCGAAAUUCCUUGUCGGGUAAGUUCCGACCUGCACGAAUGGUGUAACGACUUCCCCACUGUCUCCAACAUCGACUCAGUGAAAUUGAAUUCUCCGUGAAGAUGCGGAGUACCAACGGCCAGACGGAAAGACCCCAUGCACCUUUACUGCAUUCAUCCAGUGCUAAUAAAAAGAAGAUGUGUAGGAUAGGUGGGAGCUUAUGAUGCCUUGACACAAGUCAACUGCGGAGGCAACCUUGAAAUACCACCCUUUUUCUUUUUCGUAGCUCAUUCUCUUUUGAGAAGACCCUGUAUGAUUGGUAGUUUGACUGGGGCGGUCGCCUCCCAAAGAGUAACGGAGGCGCGCGAAAGUAAGCUCAAGCUGGUCGGAAAUCAGCUGUAGAGUGUAAUGGCAUAAGCUUGCUUGACUGUGAGACAUACAAGUCGACCAGAGACGAAAGUCGGCCAUAGUGAUCCGGUGGUGCUGCGUGGAAAGGCCAUCGCUCAACGGAUAAAAGGUACGCUGGGGAUAACAGGCUGAUGACUCCCAAGAGCUCAUAUCGACGGAGUCGUUUGGCACCUCGAUGUCGGCUCAUCACAUCCUGGGGCUGCAGAAGGUCCCAAGGGUUCGGCUGUUCGCCGAUGAAAGUGGUACGUGAGCUGGGUUUAGAACGUCGUGAGACAGUUCGGUCCCUAUCUACCGUUGGUGUUGAAAUAUUGAAGAGAUCUGACCCUAGUACGAGAGGACCGGAAAAGAUGUACCUAUAGUGUACCAGUUGUCACGCCAGUGGCAUCGCUGGGUAGCCACGUACAGUAAGGAUAACCGCUGAAAGCAUCUAAGCGGGAAUCCCACUCUAAAACUAGUAUUUCUUAUAGAGUCGCAGAAGACUACUGCGUUGAUAGGCCAAAUGUGUACGCAUGGUAACAUGUUCAGCUAAUUGGUACUAAUUACUCGAACUCUUUUUCUUCUUCUCUCCUAUUUCCAAACAUA
rnacentral:rRNA from 1 species